ensembl:lncRNA
UAAAACAGAACACUAUGAAUUAGAUCAGGGUUCGUUUAUUUCUGUAAUCUCCAUUUAAAUCGAUUUCAGCUUGAAACGAUGCACGUAUGAAGGCACAUGAAAAGCUGGGACGCACCAGACAAGGGGAAUUUUUUUAUUUUUUUUUCCCCCCAUCCCAAUGUGGGGAGGUUAAAACAUUAGACUAAGUGGCAGAGGGGGUUAGAGGGUUAUAGUCAGCCUCCUGAGAAUUUAAUCCUCAUUCUAUACAAAAGCAAUCAUGUACAAGAAUUUUGACACUAAGAAGGCCAGAUGCCAUUCAUGCUACGAUACCGUCGCUAGUCAAGUUUGUUCUCACACAGUACAAACUGGAGGGUAUUUCAGACACGGCACAUUCUCCGAGUACACGGUCCAUCACUUGCGCUCAUUUAGGAAUUUACAUUUCCAGAAACAAGCAGGAACAAGUGUUUAAAAACGUGUAAAGAAAUAUAUACAUAGACACACAUCCAGCAGAUUUGACCUGUUCAAUCUACUCCAAGCAGAUGAUAUGGGAGUGAACGUGAUAUGCUUGACACACUUACUGGUUACAUGUUUUCAUUGGUGCGCAACAGUAAAUGACAUGAUUCCUCUAGCUCAAAUCAUAUUUCUACAACAAUUCUAAAAAGAUACAUACAAUCAAAUGAGACGAGAGCACUUGGGAAAUAUAUACAGCAGCCAUUGUUCAGCAAAAAAGCCAAAAACCAUAGAAUUCAACAGGUCUAAACCGUUUCAUUCCGAGACAUUCUACUUAAAUGCCCAUACUCAUUGUGCUAAUACUCUCACUACAUUAAAUCCUCAGCCAGUGUUCAUACACAACAGUGGAUCAACAGAAUUCACACGAAUUAUAUAUUAAAAAAAAGAAAAGGAAAAAAUAAAAAAAUAAGAGAUUCAAAAUGUUCCAUCCUUCAUAAUUGUAUGGUUUUUGUAUUUCCCUGCUCAAAACAGACAAGAUGGCAGUGAACCAAAUUGGAAAAGAAAAAUGUAACAACAACAAAAUAUCAUGUGUUUGAUAGUCAUUGUAGCAUAUGGACUAUGUACAGAACCAUGUGCUAAACACAGAGCAGCGGGUGACAAAACUUCCAAUUCUAGUCCUUUUGAAUCCUCAGUAAAUCAAAACUUUUGAUCUAUUGCAAUUCUCAAAAAUCUGUGACAGAUAAGCAGCCAUCGUAUACUUGGACCAGGAAUGCAGGGAAAAAAAAAAAAAAAAAGGG